GGUCCAUGUCCAUUAACG
rnacentral:snRNA from 1 species